rnacentral:rRNA from 2 species
CCUGGGGAGUACGGUCGCAAGACUGAAACUCAAAGGAAUUGACGGGGGCCCGCACAAGCGGUGGAGCAUGUGGUUUAAUUUGAAGCAACGCGAAGAACCUUACCAGGUCUUGACAUCCCGUGACAACUCUAGAGAUAGGGCUUUCCCCUUCGGGGGACACGGUGACAGGUGGUGCAUGGUUGUCGUCAGCUCGUGUCGUGAGAUGUUGGGUUAAGUCCCGCAACGAGCGCAACCCUUGAUCUUAGUUGCCAGCAUUAAGUUGGGCACUCUAAGGUGACUGCCGGUGACAAACCGGAGGAAGGUGGGGAUGACGUCAAAUCAUCAUGCCCCUUAUGACCUGGGCUACACACGUGCUACAAUGGAUGGUACAAAGGGCAGCAAAACCGCGAGGUUAAGCCAAUCCCAUAAAACCAUUCUCAGUUCGGAUUGCAGGCUGCAACUCGCCUGCAUGAAGCCGGAAUCGCUAGUAAUCGCGGAUCAGCAUGCCGCGGUGAAUACGUUCCCGGGCCUUGUACACAC